GACGAACGCCGGCGGCGUGCUUAACACAUGCAAGUCGAGCGGUAAGGCCCCUUCGGGGGUACACGAGCGGCGAACGGGUGAGUAACACGUGAGCAACCUACCCAUCACAUCGGGAUAACUCCGGGAAACCGGUGCUAAUACCGAAUGCGACCACCUCAGGCAUCUGAUGGUGGUGGAAAGUUCCGGCGGUGAUGGAUGGGCUCGCGGCCUAUCAGCUUGUUGGUGGGGUAACGGCCCACCAAGGCUUCGACGGGUAGCCGGCCUGAGAGGGUGACCGGCCACACUGGGACUGAGACACGGCCCAGACUCCUACGGGAGGCAGCAGUGGGGAAUAUUGGACAAUGGGCGAAAGCCUGAUCCAGCAACGCCGCGUGAGGGAUGACGGCCUUCGGGUUGUAAACCUCUUUCAGCAGGGACGAAGCGCAAGUGACGGUACCUGCAGAAGAAGCACCGGCCAACUACGUGCCAGCAGCCGCGGUAAUACGUAGGGUGCAAGCGUUGUCCGGAAUUAUUGGGCGUAAAGGGCUCGUAGGCGGUCUGUCGCGUCGGGAGUGAAAACUCAGGGCUUAACCCUGAGCCUGCUUCCGAUACGGGCAGACUAGAGGUAUGCAGGGGAGAAUGGAAUUCCUGGUGUAGCGGUGAAAUGCGCAGAUAUCAGGAGGAACACCGGUGGCGAAGGCGGUUCUCUGGGCAUUACCUGACGCUGAGGAGCGAAAGUGUGGGGAGCGAACAGGAUUAGAUACCCUGGUAGUCCACACCGUAAACGUUGGGCGCUAGGUGUGGGACUCAUUCCACGAGUUCCGUGCCGCAGCUAACGCAUUAAGCGCCCCGCCUGGGGAGUACGGCCGCAAGGCUA
rnacentral:rRNA from 1 species